rnacentral:rRNA from 1 species
GACGAACGCUGGCGGCGCGCCUAACACAUGCAAGUCGAACGAGCGAGAGAGAGCUUGCUUUCUCGAGCGAGUGGCGAACGGGUGAGUAACGCGUGAGGAACCUGCCUCAAAGAGGGGGACAACAGUUGGAAACGACUGCUAAUACCGCAUAACACAACGAGACCGCAUGAUCUUGUUGUCAAAGCUUUAUGUGCUGGAAGAUGGCCUCGCGUCUGAUUAGCUAGUUGGUGGGGUAACGGCCUACCAAGGCGACGAUCAGUAGCCGGACUGAGAGGUUGAACGGCCACAUUGGGACUGAGAUACGGCCCAG